rnacentral:misc_RNA from 1 species
GAUGAAGAACGCAGCGAAAUGCGAUAAGUAGUGUGAAUUGCAGAAUUCAGUGAAUCAUCGAAUCUUUGAACGCACAUUGCGCCCCUUGGUAUCCCGAGGGGCAUGCCUGUUCGAGCGUCAUUUCACCACUCAAGCCUGGCUUGGUGUUGGGCGACGUCCUCUUUGGGGACGCGCCUCGAAACGCUCGGCGGCGUGGCACCGGCUUUAAGCGUAGCAGAAUCUUUCGCUUUGGAAGUCGGGGCCCCGUCUGCCGGAAGACCUGCUCGCAAGGUUGACCUCGGAUCAGGCAGGGAUACCCGCUGAACUUAAGCAUAUCAAUAACGGAGGA